AGAUUGAACGCUGGCGGCAUGCUUUACACAUGCAAGUCGAACGGUAACAGGCCGCAAGGUGCUGACGAGUGGCGAACGGGUGAGUAAUGUAUCGGAACGUGCCCAGUCGUGGGGGAUAACGGCAGCGAAAGCUGCGCUAAUACCGCAUACGAUCUAUGGAUGAAAGCGGGGGAUCACAAGACCUCGCGCGAUUGGAGCGGCUGAUAUCAGAUUAGGUUGUUGGUGAGUAAAGCUCACAAGCCGACGAUCUGUAGCGUGGUUUGAGACGAACGACCAGCCACAGUGGGACUGAGACACCGGCCAGACGUCCGUACGGGAGGCAGGCGAGUUGGGAAUUUGGAACAGUGGCGAAAGCCU
rnacentral:rRNA from 1 species